UGAGGUCCACCAUCAUCACUUCAGUUCGUCUUCCCUUCCUGUUUUGUUUGUUUUUUCCAUAGACUGGGAAAAUCAAUACCUCAAAGAAGAUAUAAAAGUAGCGAACUUUGAUUGAUAUCUGUGUUGGGUUUCAUACAAAGAAGACGACGUCUUUAAAGAUUGGAAAUUUCUCGGAUCUUUUGUUUCAAGCCCCCCUUUUUUUUUCUGAACAACUCUUGUUAGAGGUUAAGCUGAAGAAUCCAUUCACAGGUUUAGAUACUCCUUCAAUAGUCUUAGUCUUAGGGGUUGAUUUUUUUCAGUUUUCUUUAUUCUCUCUGUCUCUGCUUUCAUGAUUGCUUUUAUCAUGGAAGAUUUCGACCUUUGGAGGGAUUUUUUUGCUUUAUAUACGUGUUCAUUGGUUCCAACACUGUAGAAGUGAAAUUGCUUGCGAUUAGAUGUUAACAGGCUCGAAUUUUGUGUCUUUACGUUCUGUUUCUUGGGUUAAUGGAUGCGCUAAAUUCUGAAUCUUUUUCUUCAUCCUUCAGUCUAAUGUUCACAAUAGUUACUGCUUUAAACUCAUGAAGAGCUUUAUUGCUAUGUUAUUUCGUUGGUUCUCACUUCUAAUCUUAUAGGCUUGUUUUAUUGUUUACUUUGAUUCUCUGGGUUUGACUUUUGAGUACUCAAAGUUGUCAUAUGUUGCUUCAUGCUAAGUUCAAAUGUAAUGGUUUGGAUCUUAAAGAUGUUUACAAGUCUGCAAAUUUUGAACCAAUCACAUGUGAUCAGGUCUAUAGCUCUAGUUUUUUGGUUUCUGUUUACCAUCGUGCUUUGACAGUCUGUCACUCCAUCUAGGUGAUUCUAAAAGUUUUUACUUGGAAGGGAACCACGCUUGGAUCAGUUUUUGUCUGAUGAUUCAGUAAGAGAGAUUUAGAAGAAAAAAAAAAAAAUGGGAGAUACUAGUCCAAGAACAUCAGUCUCAACAGAUAACGACACUGAUCAUAAUAACCUAAUGGGUAAAUCACCUUCUCGCGCAUGGUGAGAAGAGAGGGUAACCGGCGGGAUCACGGAGAACGCGUUUCCUGUUUAAAGCUGUCGUGAGGACCGUCUACACGAAGAAAGACGUUCAAAAAUCAAACAGAAAUCGGCUUUCAACGGUCAAUAAAUCAUUAUUAUUACUUUUCUUUGAUUUCUAAGAUAUCUUGUUUGAAUGCUUUAGAAAGAUAUAUUUUUAUUUGUUUACCUAGAAAACGAUCCUGAUUUAUAUCUAACUAGAUUAUGAUCAGUGAAAUUGAUUUAUUAUGUUAAUUUUAAGAUCUACUUCUCUUCUCUUCA